UUUGUCAAAAUAAAGCUGAAUUUAUUAAUUUUAAAUAACAAUGAUCAUAAUUAUAUAAACCAUAGGUCAUCAAGUCCACCCAAUCAGAUCCCAAAGACAAUAACAAAAACACCAACAAAUCACAGAAAUAUAUUUCACAUGUGCACAAAGAGAUUAGCUAAAAGACCCUAACUAAACAAAGUGAAUCUAAAAUGAAGUCAACGGCAGCAUUCACAAAACAUUUUCUGGACAACACACAAACACGUUGGGAAAAAAAAAAGUGGAACCAAACUUUUUUUUAAAUUUUGAAGGAACAUUUGAACAUGUGAUAGUAACAUCUCUAAUUUCUAAACACAGCCAAAAAUUUGAACAUGUGAUAGUUACAUCUCUAAUUUCUAAAACACAGCCGAUAUUGUCUAGGUAUAUAUAUCUCUAUUUUUGAGACCUAAAUAUUCAUCUAAUAGCCAAAUGUACAAACAAUCUAGUUCUAUAAAUAAGAAGAACACAUUUGUUUCCUGUGUAGUUCAGAGUUCAUGCUUUCUAAAGUAACUCAAUGAGUGUAACCAUGCUCAACAGAACUUAGUGUGAAGCCCUCUGAUAUUAUGUUGGACAAGAUUGCAGAAACCUAAGAAUUUUUCUUCAUUAGGCAUCAAGUUCAGCUGUAACAAAUACAUCUCCUUUUGUCCGUGAACAUUUUGAUAUUUGUGAAAAUGAUCUUGAUCGUGAUAAAUCAUGACACUCAGGAGUUCAAGAA